ACACAUGCAAGUCGAGCGGUAGAGAGAAGCUUGCUUCUCUUGAGAGCGGCGGACGGGUGAGUAAUGCCUAGGAAUCUGCCUGGUAGUGGGGGAUAACGUUCGGAAACGGACGCUAAUACCGCAUACGUCCUACGGGAGAAAGCAGGGGACCUUCGGGCCUUGCGCUAUCAGAUGAGCCUAGGUCGGAUUAGCUAGUUGGUGGGGUAAUGGCUCACCAAGGCGACGAUCCGUAACUGGUCUGAGAGGAUGAUCAGUCACACUGGAACUGAGACACGGUCCAGACUCCUACGGGAGGCAGCAGUGGGGAAUAUUGGACAAUGGGCGAAAGCCUGAUCCAGCCAUGCCGCGUGUGUGAAGAAGGUCUUCAGAUUGUAAAGCACUUUAAGUUGGGAGGAAGGGUUGUAGAUUAAUACUCUGCAAUUUUGACGUUACCGACAGAAUAAGCACCGGCUAACUCUGUGCCAGCAGCCGCGGUAAUACAGAGGGUGCAAGCGUUAAUCGGAAUUACUGGGCGUAAAGCGCGCGUAGGUGGUUUGUUAAGUUGGAUGUGAAAUCCCCGGGCUCAACCUGGGAACUGCAUUCAAAACUGACUGACUAGAGUAUGGUAGAGGGUGGUGGAAUUUCCUGUGUAGCGGUGAAAUGCGUAGAUAUAGGAAGGAACACCAGUGGCGAAGGCGACCACCUGGACUAAUACUGACACUGAGGUGCGAAAGCGUGGGGAGCAAACAGGAUUAGAUACCCUGGUAGUCCACGCCGUAAACGAUGUCAACUAGCCGUUGGAAGCCUUGAGCUUUUAGUGGCGCAGCUAACGCAUUAAGUUGACCGCCUGGGGAGUACGGC
rnacentral:rRNA from 2 species